UGGGGAAUUUUGCACAAUGGGGGAAACCCUGAUGCAGCGGCGCCGCGUGAUUUAGAAGGCCUUCGGGUUGUAAAAAUCUUUUCUAUGGGAAGAAAAUGACAGUACCAUAGGAAUAAGGACCGGCUAAUUACGUGCCAGCAGCCGCGGUAAUACGUAAGGUCCGAGCGUUGUCCGGAAUCAUUGGGCGUAAAGGGUACGUAGGCGGGUAAGCAAGUUAGAAGUGAAAUCCUGUAGCUCAACUACAGUAAGCUUUUAAAACUGCUCAUCUUGAGAUAUGGAAGGGAAAGUGGAAUUCCUAGUGUAACGGUGAAAUGCGCAGAUAUUAGGAGGAAUACCGGUGGCGAAGGCGACUUUCUGGCCAUAAUCUGACGCUGGGGUACGAAAGCGUGGGUAGCAAACAGG
rnacentral:rRNA from 1 species